CCUACGGGUGGCAGCAGUGAGGAAUAUUGGUCAAUGGACGAGAGUCUGAACCAGCCAAGUAGCGUGAAGGAUGACUGCCCUAUGGGUUGUAAACUUCUUUUAUAAAGGAAUAAAACGAGGCACGUGUGCCUUUUUGAAUGUACUUUAUGAAUAAGGAUCGGCUAACUCCGUGCCAGCAGCCGCGGUAAUACGGAGGAUCCGAGCGUUAUCAGGAUGUAUUGGGUUUAAAGGGAGCGUAGAUGGGUAGUAAGUUCAGUUGUGAAAGUUGGCGGCUCAACCGUAAAAUUGCAAUUGAUACUGGCAGUCUUGAGUACAGUUGGGGUAGGCGGAAUUCGUGGUGUAGCGGUGAAAUGCUUAGAUAUCACGAAGAACCCCGAUUGCGAAGGCAGCUUACGAAACUGUGACUGACAUUGAUGCUCGAAAGUGUAGGUAUCAAACAGGAUUAGAUACCCUGGUAGUC
rnacentral:rRNA from 1 species